UGGUCGGGAUAGCUCAGCGG
rnacentral:tRNA from 1 species